GGGGGCCCGCAAGCGGUGGAGCAUGUGGUUUAAUUCGAUGCAACGCGAAGAACCUUACCUACUCUUGACAUCCAGAGAAUUUAGCAGAGAUGCUUUAGUGCCUUCGGGAACUCUGAGACAGGUGCUGCAUGGCUGUCGUCAGCUCGUGUUGUGAAAUGUUGGGUUAAGUCCCGCAACGAGCGCAACCCUUAUCCUUUGUUGCCAGCACGUAAUGGUGGGAACUCAAAGGAGACUGCCGGUGAUAAACCGGAGGAAGGUGGGGAUGACGUCAAGUCAUCAUGGCCCUUACGAGUAGGGCUACACACGUGCUACAAUGGCGCAUACAAAGAGAAGCGACCUCGCGAGAGCAAGCGGACCUCAUAAAGUGCGUCGUAGUCCGGAUUGGAGUCUGCAACUCGACUCCAUGAAGUCGGAAUCGCUAGUAAUCGUAAAUCAGAAUGUUACGGUGAAUACGUUCCUGGGCCUUGUACACACC
rnacentral:rRNA from 1 species